rnacentral:rRNA from 1 species
AUUGAACGCUAGCGGCAGGCUUAACACAUGCAAGUCGAACGGUAACAUUCCCGCUUGCGGGAGAUGACGAGUGGCGCACGGGUGCGUAACGCGUAUGCAACCUACCUUUAACAGAGGGAUAGCCCAGAGAAAUUUGGAUUAAUACCUCAUAGUAUUUUCAACUCACAUGGGUUGAUUCUUAAAGAUUUAUCGGUUAAAGAUGGGCAUGCGUGACAUUAGCUAGAUGGUAAGGUAACGGCUUACCAUGGCGACGAUGUCUAGGGGUUCUGAGAGGAAGAUCCCCCACACUGGUACUGAGACACGGACCAG